UACCAGCACCCCGAGUGGUCGGGACGAUUAUUGGGCCUAAAGCAUCCGUAGCCGGUUUUACAAGUCCUCCGUUAAAUCCAGCUGCUUAACAGAUGGGCUGCGGAGGAUACUAUAAGACUAGGAGGCAGGAGAGGCAAGCGGUACUCAGUGGGUAGGGGUAAAAUCCGUUGAUCCAUUGAAGACCACCAGUGGCGAAGGCGGCUUGCCAGAAUGCGCUCGAGGGUGAGGGAUGAAAGCUGGGGGAGCAAACCGG
rnacentral:rRNA from 1 species